CAAAAGCUUGGUCCUGACUUUACUGUCGGCUUUAACCUGACUUACACAUGCAAGUAUCCGCGCCCCCGUGAGGAUGCCCUACAGUCCCCUGCUCGGGAACAAGGAGCCGGCAUCAGGCACAUUCCAAUAAUUCCGCCCAAGACGCCUUGCUUUGCCACGCCCUCAAGGGUAUUCAGCAGUGAUAAAUAUUAAGCCAUAAGUGAAAACUUGACUUAGUUAAGGUUUAGAGGGCCGGUAAAACUCGUGCCAGCCACCGCGGUUAUACGAGAGGCCCAAGUUGACAGUCACCGGCGUAAAGCGUGGUUAGGAUAUAAUCAAAAACUAAAGUCGAACUCCUUCAAGGCCGUUUAAAGUGUUCGAUACGGAGAAGCUCAACUACGAAAGUGACUUUAUUUUUCUGACGCCACGAAAGCUAAGGCACAAACUGGGAUUAGAUACCCCACUAUGCUUAGCCGUAAACAUAGAUAGAACAUUACCUUUCUAUCCGCCUGGGUACUACGAGCAUUAGCUUGAAACCCAAAGGACUUGGCGGUGCUUUAGACCCAUCUAGAGGAGCCUGUUCUAGAACCGAUAAUCCCCGUUAAACCUCUCCCCUCCUUGCAAUUUCAGCCUAUAUACCGCCGUCGCAAGCCUACCCCGUGAGGGGACAGCAGUGAGCUCAAUCGGCAUAGCCCAGAACGUCAGGUCGAGGUGUAGCCUAUGGAGGGGUAUGAAAUGGGCUACAUUCCCUCAUGCAGGGAAUACGGAUAACGUGCUGAAAUGCACGUUUGAAGGUGGAUUUAGUAGUAAGCAGUAAAUAGAGUGUAUUGCUGAAUUUGGCUCUAAAGCGCGCACACACCGCCCGUCAUCCUCCCCAAGCAUCAACUCAAACAUCUUAAAUAAAACGACAGCUUUGCAAAGGGGAGGCAAGUCGUAACAUGGUAAGUGUACCGGAAGGUGUACUUGGCUCAAC
rnacentral:ncRNA from 1 species